UCUGACCCACAAUUCCUUACUUAUCAGUUUACAUAAGCUAUCCCAAUGUGAUGGUUGGGGUCGGCUGGCUGUAAGUCUCUGUUUAUUUUCCUCUGUUGUUGUUUUUUUUUUCUGUUUGCUCUGUCUCUCUCCCUGUGUCUCUUUUCGCUUUCCCUCCUCCCCUCCUGCCUACUGCCCAGCUGACUACACACACCUGUUGCCAAUCAACAAUCACUGCUCUCCUGCCACACACACCUGCCAGCCAUCUACAAUCAAGCACAGUACUUCAACCCCGGUCCAGCAGAUCAUCUCCGCUGAAUUGUUGCUUCAGCGCCACCGUAUCCAUCUCCACGUCUCCCGUGUCCAGUCAGCUGACCUCACCAUCCAGUCCUCCUACCACGGCACCUCGUUCCAUUCUACCUCCAUCUCCCCAUCCAGCCAGCCCCUCCUCGGUUCCCCCGCUCCGGUGUCUCCUCCUCGGGUCUUCAGCCCCGGUUUCCCCGCGUUUCCUCGAGCUCCCCGGCCAUCCUAGGUUUUUUCCCCUUGUGUCCCUCGCCCUCCUAGUUUCUGCCACGAGUACCUCACCUUCCUAGGUUUUCCCCUUGAGUCUCUCGCUCGGUUUCCACCCCUGAGUUCCCUGCUAACCUUUGUUUGUGUUUAUCAAUAAACUUGUUACUUAUAUUUGA